UAUAGGGAUUGGAGCCGUGGCG
rnacentral:miRNA from 2 species